GUUUUUGGUGUCAGUGUUUGAGGAAGCAUGCAAUUUUUUACACAUGCUUUUAUUUCCUGGGUAAUCCAUGCUGUAAUCCAUACUGAAGCAAUGUUUGAUCAGGGGGCGCAUAAAAGCCAAGGGAGCGGAGGCGUGUGUGUGUGUGCCAGUAGUGCCGCGUGAGCACUGAGCGACCAGACACCAGUGUGACAUAGAUAAAAUAUUGAAUAAAGAAUGGCAGUGACGCCUGUGAACUGA